GAGUGAGGGGGUGACUAGUGACAGAGUGAGGGAAGGGGUGACUAGUGACAGAGUGAGGGAGGUGGUGACUGUCACUAGUCACCACCUCCCUCACUCUGUCACUAGUCACCACCUCCCUCUGUCACUACUCAAUCCCUCCUCCUGUCACUAGUCACCCCCUUUGUCCCUUACUCUGUCACUAGUCACCCCCUAACUC